ACUCCUACGGGAGGCAGCAGUAGGGGAAUCUUCCACAAUGGGCGGCAAGCCUGAUGGAGCAACACCGCGUGAGUGAAGAAGGGUUUCGGCUCGUAAAGCUCUGUUGUUAAAGAAGAACACGUAUGAGAGUAACUGUUCAUACGUUGACGGUAUUUAACCAGAAAGUCACGGCUAACUACGUGCCAGCAGCCGCGGUAAUACGUAGGUGGCAAGCGUUAUCCGGAUUUAUUGGGUGUAAAGAGAGUGCAGGCGGUUUUCUAAGUCUGAUGUGAAAGCCUUCGGCUUAACCGGGAGAAGUGCAUCGGAAACUGGAUAACUUGAGUGCAGAAGAGGGUAGUGGAACUCCAUGUGUAGCGGUGGAAUGCGUAGAUAUAUGGAAGAACACCAGUGGCGAAGGCGGCUACCUGGUCUGCAACUGACGCUGAGACUCGAAAGCAUGGGGUAGCGAACAGGAUUAGAUACCCUGGUAGGAUAGCC
rnacentral:rRNA from 1 species